GUAAACCAGCAGCUAAUGUCGCGCAGUGGAUGCAGCACGACGUCAUCCUGCAGCAACAGUUCAGCAGCAGCGACAGCGUCUGAUCAACCACUGGAUCUGGUCAUUAAUAAACAACGUCCACGUGUCGGUCGUCAAAGGACAGAAAAGUUCAAAGUUCACUUUGGUCCUGGUGGAGUUGGAGUCUGAGCACCAACACAGCAGGCGUGUGCAGCUGCGUGUGUCAGAAACAGCGGAGACAAACAGCGUCUGUCAGAACGUCUGCCAGCUGCUGCUGUGAUGGAUGUGGACGGAAACGCUCGACGGAGGAACCGGUCACCCGUGAAAGUCAGACUCCACCACUGCCUCCGUCUUCUGACGGACCGAUCAGCUGAGACGACGGCGUCCUGUUGACUCUCCUUCACUUCACGUCUUCACUUCAGUUUCAGUCACGCCGUAGAUUUUCUGAUUUCAUGAACAAUUGAACGCAGACGUCACGUGACGUGAACGAUCCCAUUAUCACGGUGCGUCUCUGAGUUGAACUGCGGAACUAUAAUUGAUCCAAUAUAAAUAUGGGACAUAAACCCGUGUGUCUCAGUGUGUCUGCUCUCCACCGUACAGUCAGUCUAACGUCAGGUGUUACUGCUCACACUAGAGUCUGAUGAUCAAACCUCAUCUCUGUCCUGCAGUGAUCUGUCAUUAGUCUCACCAUCUGU